GCCUGGGUGGCUUAGUUGGUUAAGCGUCCGACUUUGGCUCGGGUCAUGAUCUCACGGUCGUGAGUUCGAGCCCCACAUCGGGCU
rfam:Felis catus isolate Cinnamon breed Abyssinian chromosome B1, whole genome shotgun sequence.